UAUAUACUCCCUCCGUUCGGAAUUACUUGUCUCGAAUAUAAAUGUAUCUAGAACUAAAAUACAUCUAGAUACAUCCAUUUCUGCGACAAGUAAUUCCGAAUGAAAGGAGUACAUC
rfam:Triticum aestivum genome assembly, contig: Triticum_aestivum_CS42_TGACv1_scaffold_542974_6DS